rnacentral:rRNA from 1 species
UGGGGAAUAUUGCGCAAUGGGGGAAACCCUGAUCCAGCAAUGCCGCGUGAGUGAAGAAGGCCUUCGGGUUGUAAAGCUCUUUUGUCAGGGAAGAAACGGUAGUAGCGAAUAACUAUUACUAAUGACGGUACCUGAAGAAUAAGCACCGGCUAACUACGUGCCAGCAGCCGCGGUAAUACGUAGGGUGCAAGCGUUAAUCGGAAUUACUGGGCGUAAAGCGUGCGCAGGCGGUUGUGUAAGUCAGAUGUGAAAUCCCCGGGCUCAACCUGGGAAUUGCAUUUGAGACUGCACGGCUAGAGUGUGUCAGAGGGGGGUAGAAUUCCACGUGUAGCAGUGAAAUGCGUAGAUAUGUGGAGGAAUACCGAUGGCGAAGGCAGCCCCCUGGGAUAACACUGACGCUCAUGCACGAAAGCGUGGGGAGCAAACAGGAUUAGAUACCCGUGUAGUCCCUGAGCGGGCUGGCAAGGCGCAU